AGGACGCUACACACCACAAAGCCACAUUUAAGGGAAGUCACUUCCAUCAUAGAUGAUGGACUUCUCAAUGGUCAGGUGGUAGCUGACCUUCUUGGAGAGAAAUCUGUAGAAAAGAAAACACAGGAGAAACAUGAAGGAGAUGCUCUUGGGCUCGGAAGAGAAAACCCAGUUGAUGAUGGGCCCUCGGUCGCCCACAGUGAUGGGAAUGGCACUAUAGCAACUGGACUUGACAAACAGUUCACGGGAACCAUCACCGAAAUGAAGAAUCUCAUCUAUAUCCAGAGGCACAGAGGCACUACAGAAAGACAUGCACCCAAUCAACAGAAAUAACAAUUGUGUAGCCGUAUGAGUGUGUGUGUGUGUGUGUGUGUUUUCUAUAGGCAUAUACUAACGUGAGUUCUCCUGACUUGAGGAGGGUGAUUUCUGCAUCCUGUACAGUAGGGACCAUCUCUUCCUGUUCAUCAGGGGUCACGUCACUCGAUAUGCUACUGUAAAAGACAAUAAUAACAACCUACCAUAAAUAGACGGAACAUUUUUUGAAGUUAGAAUGUUUGGAAUGGUUGCCUGGAUGUUGCUAUGACAAGGGGUUUGAACACUUGUUAACGGGUUGCUAUGUGUUUACUUGAUGGACAAAGUCAUAAAGAAAAAUCUGUUCCCUUAUAUCUAAACUGUCCAAAAAAAAUAAUAAUAAUAAUAAUAA